rnacentral:lncRNA from 1 species
UAGAAGCACUCAAAGAACGCAAAGAUUUGCAAAGGUACGCCAAUGGCACGUACGCAAUACGGACAUCAGUAAUACUUUAUACAUUUUGAAAGAGGCACACGGUUGUAAGCAUAUUUUUAACAUAUGCAGAAGAAGUACUAACAGUGCAAAUCAAUCACGUAGUCGUCCCAUUCGAUGUCGAAGAUGCGCAAAAAAGGGCAAAAACAAAAGUCCAGGUGGAACACUCUGCUAAUGGAACGCAAGAAACAUGUGAGCAGGAAUACGUCGUAAAGGUAAAGUAAAAAAAACAAAAACAAUUCAAAGUAGAGCAGACAUCGAUGGGCAAGCCAAAGGUGAUACCGUCAGUGGAACACAGGAAGCAGAAAAAACAUCCCGUCUUGCAGCAGAACUCGAAGAAGUACAGAGACAGAAGCAUCUUCUGCAGCAAGCAAGUCGCUUCGUAGAGAAGAAAAUCCAAAAAGCACACAAACUUGUAGACUCGGCAAGGUACGCAGCUUUCAAAGCAUAUAUAGCAAGCGGAGAAAGCAGCAUCCAAAAAG